rnacentral:rRNA from 1 species
UACGUAGGCAGCGAGCGUUGUUCGGAGUUACUGGGCGUAAAGAGUGCGUAGGCGGUUUUCUAAGUUUGGUGUGAAAUCUCCCGGCUCAACUGGGAGGGUGCGCCGAAGACUGGAAGGCUUGAGUAUGGGAGAGGUAAGCGGAAUUCCUGGUGGUAGCGGUGAAAUGCGUAGAUAUCAGGAGGAACACCUGCGGUGUAGACGGCUUACUGGACCAUAACUGACGCUGAGGCACGAAAGCGUGGGUAGCAAACAGG